AUGCAGUCGACGGUGAACACGGAGCUUGCUCUGUGGGAUCAGUGGCGAACGGGUGAGUAACACGUGAGCAACCUGCCCCUGACUCUGGGAUAAGCGCUGGAAACGGCGUCUAAUACUGGAUACGAGUAGCGGCCGCAUGGUCAGUUACUGGAAAGAUUUUUUGGUUGGGGAUGGGCUCGCGGCCUAUCAGCUUGUUGGUGAGGUAAUGGCUCACCAAGGCGUCGACGGGUAGCCGGCCUGAGAGGGUGACCGGCCACACUGGGACUGAGACACGGCCCAGACUCCUACGGGAGGCAGCAGUGGGGAAUAUUGCACAAUGGGCGGAAGCCUGAUGCAGCAACGCCGCGUGAGGGAUGACGGCCUUUCGGGUUGUAAACCUCUUUUAGCAGGGAAGAAGCGAAAGUGACGGUACCUGCAGAAAAAGCGCCGGCUAACUACGUGCCAGCAGCCGCGGUAAUACGUAGGGCGCAAGCGUUAUCCGGAAUUAUUGGGCGUAAAGAGCUCGUAGGCGGUUUGUCGCGUCUGCUGUGAAAUCCCGAGGCUCAACCUCGGGCCUGCAGUGGGUACGGGCAGACUAGAGUGCGGUAGGGGAGAUUGGAAUUCCUGGUGUAGCGGUGGAAUGCGCAGAUAUCAGGAGGAACACCGAUGGCGAAGGCAGAUCUCUGGGCCGUAACUGACGCUGAGGAGCGAAAGGGUGGGGAGCAAACAGGCUUAGAUACCCUGGUAGUCCACCCCGUAAACGUUGGGAACUAGUUGUGGGGUCCAUUCCACGGAUUCCGUGACGCAGCUAACGCAUUAAGUUCCCCGCCUGGGGAGUACGGCCGCAAGGCUAAAACUCAAAGGAAUUGACGGGGACCCGCACAAGCGGCGGAGCAUGCGGAUUAAUUCGAUGCAACGCGAAGAACCUUACCAAGGCUUGACAUAUACGAGAACGGGCCAGAAAUGGUCAACUCUUUGGACACUCGUAAACAGGUGGUGCAUGGUUGUCGUCAGCUCGUGUCGUGAGAUGUUGGGUUAAGUCCCGCAACGAGCGCAACCCUCGUUCUAUGUUGCCAGCACGUAAUGGUGGGAACUCAUGGGAUACUGCCGGGGUCAACUCGGAGGAAGGUGGGGAUGACGUCAAAUCAUCAUGCCCCUUAUGUCUUGGGCUUCACGCAUGCUACAAUGGCCGGUACAAAGGGCUGCAAUACCGCGAGGUGGAGCGAAUCCCAAAAAGCCGGUCCCAGUUCGGAUUGAGGUCUGCAACUCGACCUCAUGAAGUCGGAGUCGCUAGUAAUCGCAGAUCAGC
rnacentral:rRNA from 1 species